CACCAACUUCACGGGAAAGCCGGGAUGUGAGCGGCUUGGCUUGUCUUGAAUUGCUCAAAGUAAGAUUUGGAUAAGCCGUUAAAAGCCGUAAAUCCUCCAAAGCCAUAAGCCAAAGCUAGACAAAGCAUUAAAGCCGCCGAAGCUUCGUUCUCUUCUGAUUGGUUACGACUAGCAGGCGUAUUUUUAUGGUGGCUUUGGACUGUUGUGGACGACCUUUGAAAUGGUCAUGGCCCCGCGCCGUAAUAAAACACGCGGCAAGGCAACAGCGGCGGCAGGUUCUAAGCAGGUGCCCAGGUGCGCGUUCUGCGACCUGCCACACAGCGACGACAUCAACGGGGAGCUUCUGAGCCGUAACGGCCUCCACGUGCACUACUUUUGCAUGCUCUUCUCGAGCGGCCUGCACCAGAGAGGCGAGGAGGAGGACCCGCUGCGCGGUUUCCUGGAAACAGACGUGCGCGCCGAGCUGCGCCGCGGCAACAGACUGAUAUGUUGUUUCUGCAAGCGAAGAAAUGCCACGGUCGGCUGCUGCCUACGGGCAUGCAAGAAGGCGUUUCAUAUGCCCUGUGGAGUUGAUCGGGACUGCCUGCUUCAGUUCUUCGGUGACUUCAGAGUGUACUGCGCAGCGCACCGCCCUCGCCAGAAUGUGGUGCCACUGGAACGGGAUGGCCCUAGCCUGUGCUCCAUCUGCUCCGAGGAGAUGGUCCACCCAUCAGUGAAUGUGCUGGUGACGCCCUGCUGCAGGCAGAUGUUCCACCGAGGGUGCAUCCAGCGCCAAGCCAUGAGCGCAGGCAGCCACUUCUUCCGCUGCGGCCACUGCAACAACCAGGAGGCCUUCCAAAGAGAGAUGCAGGACCACGGCAUCUACGUGCCUGACCAAGAUGCCUCCUGGGAGCAGGAGCCACAUGCCUACGAGGAGCUGCUCUACCGGUACCAGCACUGCGACGCACCACGUUGCUCCUGCCCCUUAGGGCGCAGCCACCACCAGGAGGAUAGUCGCUGGAGGAUGGUGGUGUGCGACAGCUGUGGCUCCCAGGGCGUCCAUGCAUCCUGCGGCAACGUGGCAGGCACCCACUGGGUCUGUGCAGACUGCCGCCAGAUCAUCACUCGAGUCGCUUAUAAUACAGCACAAAGAGAAAAGCAGCUGGCUGUCAUGACAUCGGACCUGGCGAGUGAAGAUGACAGCAGCCAGCGCAGAAAGUGGCAGCAGCGGCAGCGGAGACGUGCCGCAAGAUUAAUUUCUUCAGAUGAGGAUGCUGCAGACAAUGGUGGCUUUUCGCAAGGCUCUGAGGAAACUUUUUCAACACGCUUCCGUCUGCAAGCAAGCUUCGCGACCCGUCCCGAGCCUCUAGUCCCACUGAAUAGUACCAGUAGCCGCCCGACUGAUGUGCCUUCCCUGGCGAUGACCUCUGAGCAUGCUGGAUCUUCAGCCAUGCCUACAUCAUCCGUGCAAGGUCAAACUUGCAGAGAAAGGAUUUCGCGAAGUCAAGUGAGUAGAAGUAGCGCUAGCUGUCUGUACAUGUACUGUCAUCUGCAUGUUCUUACGAAUAAAUGUAACUGCUCAUUACCUUUUUUAAUGACAAAGUGGAACUAUCUUGUUAGACUCCAGAGUUGCAUGUGGGCUCGCUGCUGUAGCAGCUGUGGUGAAAUACUGACUCAAAAUUUAGCAAGUAGGUCUUGUAGCUUUCUUUCACAUUGUUUAAGAAAUGUCCGAAUCCUUAUUGCGGUUCCUUAGUCUAGUUGUCUCUAGUUGUCAUCUUCGAUAUACUAAUGCGAAACAUUGUUUUGCUUUUCAUUUAACAGCAUUGCCGAAGAAAAUUCAUAUUGCCGUUCCUUAGUUCCGAAGAAAAUCUAGUUGUCAUCUACGACGUACUAAUGCGAAACAUUUUGCUUUUCCUUGGCAGGACUGCAGAAGAAAAUUCUGAAGUCGUUGGAAGAGAUGAGAGCAGAGCUCUCAGCACAUGGAGACAUUUUAGAGAAGUUAGAAAUGUCGUACUCGCUGCGAGCACAUGCCCGGAGUCCCAGACCUGUUGAUCGCUGCGUGCUUGAUGUACUACCAUUGGCAUCCCAAGAAGGGUUGCAGGAGCUCGAGAGUCAACUCUCUACUGCUCAGAGUAGGACUAAGCUUGUCUCCUGCCUGUCAACAAUAGGAGGAUCGUCUGCACAGGAUUCCAUGCACCACAUAAUGCGGAGGUGCAUGCAAGACAGUUACGCCCAAGGCUUUAGCAUGACGGGGAGGAAAGGGAAGAAACCAUUUGUGGGCCUCCGCCUUUUCAGUACCAUAAUUGAGGCAGUGAAGAAGAACUUCCCUGAUGCUACCGACAUGAUGCUGCGGUCGUAUGCAGCUGAUUGGCUGCGUUGCGCUUCGUCAAGGAUCCAGAGAAGCAUUGGAGUGCACCAGAGGAUGCCAGCUGUGUCAAGUAGUGUGGAGAACCCAUCUGUUCUGGAGCAAAGCUUUCAGGAACAAUAAAAUAAAGUGACUUUUCCCGUGCAA